GACGUAGGGCGCGAGCGUUGUCCGGAUUUAUUGGGCGUAAAGAGCUCGUAGGCGGCUUGUCGCGUCGUCCGUGAAAACUUGGGGCUCAACCCCAAGCUUGCGGUCGAUACGGGCAUCACUGGAGUUCGGCAGGGGAGACUGGAAUUCCUGGUGUAGCGGUGAAAUGCGCAGAUAUCAGGAGGAACACCGGUGGCGAAGGCGGGUCUCUGGGCAGUAACUGACGCUGAGGAGCGAAAGCGUGGGGAGCGAACAGG
rnacentral:rRNA from 1 species